GUUCCACCCACUUCCUGGCGCGGGGGGCGCUAGGCCGCCGCGCGUCCACGGAUUAGGGGUCGAGGGGCAGUUUAAAGGGUCUGGAGGAGAACGAGGUUUGAGGGUCGCAGAGAAGGGGUCCGAGAAGAGCCUGGCAGCCUGGCGAGCGGGUCUCCAGAUUAGAAAUGUUGUCUGAAGCUAUGGAACUUCAGAGAGAGGCUUAAAAUUUGGAUGCAUGCCAUUUUUCUAAAAGAUCAUGUUGGAGAAAAAAUGAGGAAGGAAUUAUCUGAAGAUAAUACCUGAGAAUCCAAAGAGGAACAAGACAAGAAGUAUGAAGACAAGAAUUCUACAUGUGCUGAGUGAAGAAAGUUUUCAGAGUAGGCAAUUCAAGAAGGAGAUACUCAGGUGAAGGUGAAAGAACACACAGCCAUCUAUAAACUUCAGCAUAAAAGAGCUGAAUAACAACACCAGUGUCCAUCAUCGUACCUCCCUGAAGGUGGGUGUUUAUGAGAAAUGUCCAGAGGACAAAAGUAAGGCAUGAAUUGGACAACCCCCCGUUGGUAACUUACAUCCUGAAACAAGAGAUUUGAUUACCCUUAUCAUUAUCUCUGCUUGCUGAGCAGAGCUCCCAAAGCUAUUAGUGGUCAUAAAAUUACCCAGCUGUUUUUUAAAUUCAACCAUAGUAUUUGACUCAGUGACCUCUUCGGUCAAUGAAUUUCACAGGUUGACUAUACACAUUUAUAAGGCAUUAUUUACUUCAAUUUGUUCUGAAUUUACUGCCCCUUAUUUUUAUCAAGUGUCUCCUUGUCCUCAUCUUAUUAUGAGACAAGGUUAAAAAAAAAAGGUGUCCUUUGUAAUUCUGAAUGCUUCAAUCAAUGACUUUUCUAAAAUACACCAGAUUUUAGAAUCUUUUAUUAGGAAAAUGAAAAAUCUAGCUGUAUUCCAUCUAGUCUCUAUUAAUAUUUUAUUCUCACCAUGAUUUUUUAUUACUUGGCUGUGAAUUCAAUGCCUGUUAUACCUCCUCAUUCUAUUUCUUUCAUGUUACUAACAGCACAAGAAUGACAAUCAUGAAUAUGUAUCUUUUUCCAAUAAGAAAAUUCAGGUUUGUAAUGAUCUGAAAUGAUUAAAAUCUAAUAUGAUUUUCUAUUAAUUGAAAUAUUUUUCUUGGUAAAGCAAAUAUAUUCCAAAUACUUAAAUUUCAAGCUAACUGAACUAGAGCUUCAAUAAGUUUCCUUCAAUAAGGUAUUUUUGACAUUAUCUCCUCUAGAGUAGAUUCAUUUGUGAGAUUGUUCUGCAGUGAUUUGGAUCCACCAAAAUUAGAGGAGUGGAUAAGCUGAUUAUCUAGUCAUGUGAUUCUAUUGCAGUUCAUCUGAAUAAAGGAUUUUGUAUUUUACCACAAAGUUGUCCUUCAUGGACUGAGCCCCCAUGUUUCUCACCACAAUAUUUAGAGAUAUUCUAACUCAGAGAAAUAAUUUCAAUGUAUGGAAUUUAUGUAUUUUUGCAGUACUGUGUUUUAUAGUUAUAAAUGGUUAUGUUGAGCUAAAAUUAUUUAUUUCAUGUAUACAGUUAGGUGUAUAGUUAGUUAUGUUUCAAGUAUACAGUUAGGUAUAAUUUUCUUUUACAUGGCACUUUCUUCAACGGUUGAAAACACAUGCAAACCCUGUUGUAUGUCAUCAUGAUCAUUCAGGACUCCCUCAUUUAUGUAAUAGAUUUUUGGAACUACUUUAGAAAUAAAGUGAGAAAUGAUGCAAGUAAAAAACAAUUAAAACACAGGGCAGCAAGAGAGUAGUCUCUCCUUGUUACAUAGCUUCUCUUAAGGAUAGUACAGAGAACAACUGCUUGAUGAAAAUACAAGUUUCCGUGUUUCAGCUCCGACCUGCUAAAUCAAACUCUUAAUAUCCUGGGACUAGAGAAUCAGCCUUUAAAACUAACUCCUGGAGUUCUCUGGUGGCAGAGUGGGCUAAGCAUCUGGCAUUGCCACUGCUGUUGCUCAGGUCUCAGCUGUAGUGUGAGUUUGAUCCCUGGCCCUGGAACUUCCACAUGCAAUGGGCACAGCAAAACAAUAAAGAGAAAAAAACCUAACUCCUUAUCUGUGCUCAUCACAACUCUCUUUAGACCCCCGUAUCAGUUUUAACUUUUUCCUGGGAACCUCUUCCAUACUUGUAACUUCAGCUAUAUACUUGCUACAGUCUUAUCUCCAGCUUGGAGUUCACUUUUGAGUACCAGGUGUCAUCUUCUGGUUUGUCUCAUCAGAGAUAUUUCAUAUUCAAACUGAAGUAAUGACUUUCCCCUAAAACUUUGCUUUUGGGCCACUUAUUUAAGUGUCCAAACUAGAAAGUAUUGAUUAUCUUUUCCUCUUCCUCUUCCCUUUAAUAUUUAAGUAGUGAAAUCUAUUGUCAUCCAUUAUUGGAUAUCUCCUGGGUUUUAUGUUGAGAAAAUAUAUUCAUCCCUGAGAUCAGAUGAACCAUAUUUCUUAUGGAAUGAUGGAGCAUGAUUGCUAAAUUGUGGAUUGGAAUUAGAGAUUCAGGAGACUGAAAAGUAGCCCCAUGGGGGCCAAAGCCCAAGACUGUUUUAUAGCAGCAAGCAAAAUUCAAAUCAUAAUUAAUGUUAACAGAGGUUUAACUGAGUCCUUGUUGAACAUAAGAAUUGUAAUAUAUUGAAAGGAAACUAAAGAAUUGCAGAAGUCUAUAAAUGUAAAAUAUGAAAAUUAGCUUAGAAUUUUAUGGUACCUCAUCAUCUUAUAAUGGUUAAAACUAAGUAUUGGUCAGAGUUUUCAAUUUAUUCAAAUAUAGGUUAAUAGAGUUUUAAUAAAACAAUAUUUAUGUUUAUCUUUUUCUUAUGAUUAAAUUAGCAUAAAGUUACAUUCAGAUACAUUUUUGCAGAAAAUAAUUAUAAAUACUCUAGAGGCCCAAAUAUGCCAUUUUGAAAGCCCUUAAUUCACUCUGCUCUUCUGAAACACUGGUAGAAAAUGAGGUUCUUGAAACAGUAUAUCCCAUUUUGACAUUAUCACAAAGAUUCUUCGAAUUCAAGUUAAACUUUCUUAUGAAUUUGGCAGUGCUAAUUACCAAGAUGUCCAUUUCAGAAGAAAACAUUUAAGGUAGUAAUAUAUUCUGUCAUUACCUCCAUACAAAUUCAAAAUUUGAUCAUUGAUACUUGGAGAUGAGAUUUCCUUUCCAAACAAUACAGAACAACAGUUAUUUUUAUCACCAGUUCAGAAAGAACAUAUAACAGUUUAUGUGUUGUGCGUGUGCAGUAGUUAAGAAUUUAUUCUGUAUCAGAUCAUUUUAUUUUCGUCCUUGUGUGAAGCUUUGAUGAAUACUCUAAAACAGUGUUUAUUAUGUAACAUUUGAUACAUACUAAUGCAGGUUGCAAAGCAAUAUAAAAAGACACAUAAAUUGACCAAUCUAGUUAUAAAAUCAUCUAUAGUGUGGCCUCAGUGAGUAUAUGUCUCCUUGACCCCACUCUUUAGCCUUCCCAAUAUAGGUAGCACCCUCCUGAAAUAUGUGUUUACCAUUUCUUUCCAUUUAAAAAACAUAGUUUGAGGAUAAUCACUCAUCAGGUUUUUAAAAUUCAUUCAUGUGGUUUCAUAAAAUUGUAAUUUGUUUAGUUUCGCUAUAAUCUAACAUUCCACUGUAUGGUUAUUCCACAUUUUAUUUACCCAUUCUGGUGAUAAUUGUUUGGGUUGUCUUAAGUUUUUGCUAUUAAGAGGAAUAGUAUUGUUAAUAUUCUUGUAAGGUCUUGUGGUACACCUGCAUAAAUGUUCUCUGUGGUAUAGAUCUCAAAGUAGAAUUGCUGAGUUGUAGGGAAGGAGAAUUUUCAUACUUAGAAGAAAGUGCCAAAUUAUUUUCCAAAAGGAUCGUACUAAUUUACACCCCUGCACAUGAAGCAUAUGAAGAUUCUCAUUAAUCCAUAUCCUCACCAAAACUUGUAUUGCCAAUUAUAACAUUUGUUAAUCUGGUGGAUCUAACAUGGUAGAUCAUACUAGUACUAAUGACUAAUUCUGCGAUUACUGUGGGAAAUAAACAUCCUCAUAUUUUUAUUUGCUAUUCAGAUUUAUAAAUGUUGCCAAUUUAUGUAGUUUGUCCACUUAAAAAAUUUUUUUAUGGCCAUACCCACAGCAUAUGGAAGUUCCCAGCCAGGGAUUGAUUCCUAGCCAAAGCUGCAGCCUACAUGGCAGCUGUGAUAAUGCCAGGUCCUUUAACUCUCUGUGCCAGGCUGAGAAUCAAACCCACACCUCCACAGAGACCCAAGAUGCUGCAGUCAGAUUCUUAACCUACCACACUAUGGUGGGA